rnacentral:lncRNA from 1 species
GGAAGUGCAUGAAAUGUAGGAAAUAAUAUUGGAUACGAAAAGCUCAGAGACAGAGAAGGUGGUCCCUUCACAUCUCAGUUUUGUAGCUCCAAUUAUUCACUACCAUAUACACAGUUUCUGAUAUGACACCAAACCAACGAUCGACUAUUUCAUCGUGGAAGAUAAAAUCAGCAACCUAAGCUAAGCUAAGCUACAACCUGCAUAUGCUGCUUUGUGUCCC